UACGUAGGGACCGAGCGUUGUCCGGAAUCAUUGGGCGUAAAGAGCGUGUAGGCGCUAUUUAAGUCCUGCGUGAAAUCCUGCGGCUCAACCGCAGACGGUCGUGGGAAACUGGAUGGCUAGAGUGCGGGAGAGGAGAGUGGAAUUCCCGGUGUAGCGGUGAAAUGCGCAGAUAUCGGGAAGAACACCCGUGGCGAAGGCGGCUCUCUGGAACGCAACUGACGCUGAGACGCGAAAGCGUGGGGAGCAAACAGGG
rnacentral:rRNA from 1 species